rnacentral:rRNA from 1 species
AGUGGCGAACGGGUGAGUAACACGUGAGUAACCUGCCCCUGACUUCGGGAUAAGCCCGGGAAACUGGGUCUAAUACCGGAUACGACCGUCGGACGCAUGUCUGGUGGUGGAAAGUUUUUUCGGUUGGGGAUGGGCUCGCGGCCUAUCAGUUUGUUGGUGAGGUAAUGGCUCACCAAGACGACGACGGGUAGCCGGCCUGAGAGGGCGACCGGCCACACUGGGACUGAGACA